CUUGGAUGGCAAGCACGGUACAAAGCUUUCUCUCCUUCCUUCCUUGCAAAGCUACAACACUCUUUGUAUUUUUAUCUCUGAAUUUCUCUCUGAAGCUCCCCCCUGAAAGCCACGACAAGGGUGUAUAUUUAUAGGCUAGGGCACGACACAAAGUUGUAGAUGAGAAGGAAAAACACGACAGAUUCCUAAGGGGAAAGGGAUAGGGUGGUUUGGCACAAUCUUCUAGAACCAGAUAACAAGUGGUUUAAUAUGAAAAGGAAUCCCCCUUGCAGCUGGAAAUAAGGUACGAUAAGAUUAGGAUAGGAUAGGAUAAGAUAAGGUUAGUUUGGAUAAUGUUGGAUAAGAUAAGGUUGGGCAAGAUAAUGUUCCUUCCUUUUAGCUGAUUCCUUAUCUCCCAAGUCUUGAUUUAAUUUCUCUAGAUUUGUAGCACAUUCCUUGCCUCUUUAAACUUCAAAAACGUCCAUCCAUUAUGCUCCAUACGCAAGCUAUCCAUUCCAAGUCCAAAACUUCUCUUAAAUGCUCCAAAUUGCCUUUUCUUGCCACUUUUGCCAAUUGGACCUACAAACACACGAAAAUGGCUUAAAACACUCUAAAAAGUAGAAACUAACUAUGUAAAUGCAAGGAAAUAAGCUAACUAAGUCGCAUAAAUAUGCUCCUAUCAAUGUCCCUAUCGAAAUGGUUCACUAAGUUUAUUGUAAACUAUAUAGUGAACAUUAACUGCACACUCUCCAAAUUGUUUGAUGUGUAUAACACAAUUGAAAUAAGUUUCAAGAGAGAUAGUGGGAGUUUAGGGACCAUGACUAUUGUAGUCAAUGGUGAAGUCAAAUGAAGAAGGCGAAAUAACUCCAAUGGAACAAACUUUCUUUAUGAAAGGAUGGACAUUGGAAGAGGUAUUUGCAAGAAAUGUCUUGCAAGUGUUAAGAACACACCUUUCGAAGGUGUUGUAAAUUGUUCUUGAAUAAGUUCAAAACAGUUGGUUCUUCUACUUGAAUGCUUGAUUCCAUAUCAGUAACUAUGUUUUACAAUAGUUGUAAAAGUGUGGCUAAUAAGAAGUAGAAGAUAAGUGAGAGAAGAGAAAGUACUUCACAUUCGGAAUGUGAAUAAAAUAUAGAUCUCUGCGAAAGCAGAUAGUACUUAUUUCCUCAUAUGAACUACCAAAGAAAUUGGAAAAAGAAAGAUUGUCUUUACAUUCCAAUUUGAAUAAAGAACUUAAUUCUAUCGCUAUAAGAGAUGGAUGUAUGUUUUGUUUGACAAAACAUUGUUCUUUAUUAAUGGAUAAUUAGAGAUGGUGUGGUAGUGUUAACUGUUUAGAAUAUAACGAUGCUUAAAACCCAAAAGGUUGCAAGGUAGUGACUAAUCCCAACUGAGUUGUGACACCUUUAAAAACAUAAAUUACGAGUUGGUCAUAGAUGGAUGGAAUUCGUAACUAUGAACUGCAUGAUACUCCUGCCAGGAAUUUACUUAACGCGAUCGUGACUAACAACCUCCACUACUUGUAAAUAUAAGUUCAUAAUGAUUAGGUGAAAUUCCCUUAUAUUCUAGCAUCAAAUUCAUGCAUGCAAACUAAGUAGGCCUCCUUAAUAAACAUACAAGAAUAAGUUAUCAAUUAAACAAAUAAGUAAAUUGCAUUCAUGAUUUAUGAAACAAUAACUGGAUGUAAUCAAUUCAUAUCACACAUAUGAAUUCACCUGUAGCUAAAACAAAAUUAGUUCCACAUGUUUGCAAUUAAACAAAAUCAAUCUAAUUUAAAAAUUGAACUAAAACUAAGGAUAGAAAGAACCCAAAAACGCUCCAAUGGCCUUGGAUGGCAGGCACGGCACAAAGUU
rnacentral:lncRNA from 1 species